GCUCUAUUAGUUCAUUUAAUCCCCUCAAUGACUUUGAGAGGUACACACUUUUUUUCUUUUUUUUUGAGACAGGCGGGACCCUAAAUAAACGACUUCACCUCUUUGACCCUCAGAGGUUAACCUGGCAUAGUAAUCGCCUCCCUCACGGGGUUAUUUAGGUUUCAACGAGUUGAUGCACAAGCGUGGCACAUGGAAAGGGCUCGGUAAACACGAGGUGCUAUUACUCCCACCACAGUGCCAGUCCUUCUCCCUUUUUUACUUUAUUUUUUAUUUUUAUUUUUUGAGAUGGAGUCUUGCUCUGUCGCCCAGGCUGGAGCGUAGUGGCGCCAUCUCCGCUCACUGUAACUUCCGCCUCUCGGGUUCAAGCAAUUCACCUGCCUGGGCCUCCCGAGUAGCUGGGGUUACAGGCAUCCCCCACCACGCC
rnacentral:lncRNA from 10 species